AUGCCUACCUCCUCGCACGAGGCCGGAGACAGCCUUCCCUCCGUAUCCGCUUCCUCCAUCGUCGCUAGCGCCGUGUGCGGUUACCACUUGCUCAAGAUCGUCAGCUACUCGCGCACCAAGGAGGUCCCCAAUGGUAAGUCGAUCGAGUCUAGCCCGUUCCAGCUGGGAGGCCGCACAUGGCAUCUUCGUUACUAUCCCAACGGGAACAAGAAAGGAGAUACCGAUUACAUAUCCGUUUUUCUCGUCUUGGAUGAUGCCGUCACGGAGGCCGAGGCCGUGAAGGCACAAGCUAAGUUCAGCUUACUCGACCAACAGGGGAAUCCUGUGCCGUCCUACACCGAACGUACCACCACCAACAACUACGCUGUGAAUAAAACUUGGGGAUAUGAUAGGUUCAUCAAAAGGGAUGAAUUAGAGGAAUCAGAGCAUCUCAAGGACGAUUCCUUCACUAUCAAGGUCGACAUCACUGUCCUAGGCUUGUUCCACGGGCAGGUGACUCCAUCCAUCGUGGUACCGCCGUCUGACUUGCACCAGCACUUAGGGGAUCUCCUGUCAAGCAAGGCGGGCGCCGAUGUCGAAUUCCUAGUCGGCGGUGAGACUUUCUCUGCGCACCGGUACGUGCUCGCGGCGCGCUCUCCUGUUUUCAAAGCAGAGUUCUUUGGUUCCAUGGAGGAGAGCACCACCAAAAAUGCCAUACGUAUAGAUGACAUGGAGGCACAGGUGUUCAGUGCUCUGCUUACUUUCAUGUAUACGGACACGUUGCCGGAUAUGAAGCAAGAAGAAGAAUAUCACAUGGCUCAACAUUUGCUUGUCGCAGCUGACAUGUAUGAUUUGGGGAGGUUGAAGCUGAUUUGUGAAGAUAAACUGAGCAAUCAUAUCGAUAGGAGCUCCAUGGCGGCCAUGGUGACAUUGGCGGAGCAGCAUCACUGCCAUGGGCUUAAGAAAGCAUGUUUGGUAUUCCUCAGCUCGUCAGCGAAUCUGAAUGCGCUCAUCGAGUCUGAAGGCCUUGAGUUUUUAACCAAGCACUGCCCUGGUCUUUUGAAGGAUCUCCUCUUGUCCAAGGUUGUAGCUUGUUGA
rnacentral:rRNA from 1 species